AAACUAACAAGGAUUCCCCUAGUAGCGGCGAGCGAAGCGGGAAAAGCUCAAAUUUGUAAUCUGGCGCUUUCGGCGUCCGAGUUGUAAUCUCGAGAAGUGUUUUCCGCGUCAGACCGCACACAAGUCUCCUGGAACGGAGCGUCAUAGUGGUGAGAACCCAGUACACGGUGCGGAUGCCUGAUGCUUUGUGAUACACUUUCGAAGAGUCGAGUUGUUUGGGAAUGCAGCUCAAAUUGGGUGGUAAAUUCCAUCUAAAGCUAAAUAUUGGCGAGAGACCGAUAGCGAACAAGUACCGUGAGGGAAAGAUGAAAAGCACUUUGGAAAGAGAGUUAACAGUACGUGAAAUUGUUGGAAGGGAAACGCUUGAAGUCAGACUUGCUAUUCGGAGCUUGCUUCGAUUCGCAGGCCCGCAUCAGUUUUUCGGGGCGGAAAAUCGUAGAGAGAAGGUAGCAGUUUCGGCUGUGUUAUAGCUUUCUACUGGAUUCGUCCUGGGGGACUGAGGAACGCAGCGUGCUUUUUGCAUGGGCUUCGGCCUAUCCACGCUUAGGAUGCGGGUGGAAUGGCUUUAAACGAC
rnacentral:rRNA from 2 species